UUUCCGUAGGUGAACCUGCGGAAGGAUCAUUACCGAGUUUGGGUUUCCCAGGCCCCACCUCCCACCCUGUGUUCCUGUGACCUUGUUGCUUUGGCGGGUCCGCCUCUACGAGAGCCCGCCGGAAGCGCACCGCUUUGGGCCCGUGCCCGCCCGUAGCCUCCUUAAAUUCUUAAUACAACUGUCGUCUGUGUCGAGAUAUAAUAAUGAGAACUUUCAACAACGGAUCUCUUGGUUCUG
rnacentral:misc_RNA from 1 species